GGCUGGUGCUGAGAACUGACACGGGGUGGCAGAAAUGGACUCUGGUAGUCAGACGAAAUCCAUAGAGCAUUGAGGAUGAUGACAUUUGAAAACUUUUGGCCACGUGGGCAUCGGAGAUGCAGGAUGACGUGGAGCAGAUCCGAGCUCUAAAAAAAGAGAAGCCAUAAUCCAACCGGUCACACCAAACCUGCUUUUGAAUGUACUGAGUGUUCACCUGGAAUCACAAAGGUUCCUAAAUACUUUACCCUUCUAGCCCACCAGUCACCAGAGGUGGUGGAAAAGGAAAGACGUGGGGGAAGUGGGCCUGUUUCGAAAGGUCCUUUGGAUCAGUUCCUGUCUGUGCUGUCAGCAGUUCAGUACACAGGUCAGCAGUGGCAUCUCGAUCCACUCACAAACACUACACUGGAGACACCAGCAGCAGUCCAGUGCGGGAGAGCUGGGAUAGGAAACAUGAAUGAGCAGUGGUAGCACUACCUCACAGACACAGCCAGGCUUCAGCCUCAGCAGGAGUUAGCAGGAGGGGCCAGGAGGAACACCAGGAGAAGUUCUCAGUUGUGCCUCUCUUACCAAAGUGAAGACCGGUGAAGAUAAGAGACCAGCAAGCUUUGUGCAGCCAGCCCUUUAAGCCAGCCAAGCUCACCCUCUGCCACUGUCCAUCAAGUCCUCUUUAUCCUCCCUCCAAACAUCGUGUGUCCUCCAUGGGUCUUGCCUCAGCAUGUGCGUCUUCCAAUCCGCCUGAUUCUGUGGAAGCAAGAAACUGCAGC